rnacentral:rRNA from 1 species
UACGAAGGGGGCUAGCGUUGCUCGGAAUCACUGGGCGUAAAGCGCACGUAGGCGGCUUUUUAAGUCAGGGGUGAAAUCCUGGAGCUCAACUCCAGAACUGCCUUUGAUACUGAGAAGCUUGAGUCCGGGAGAGGUGAGUGGAACUGCGAGUGUAGAGGUGAAGUUCGUAGAUAUUCGCAAGAACACCAGUGGCGAAGGCGGCUCACUGGCCCGGUACUGACGCUGAGGUGCGAAAGCGUGGGGAGCAAACAGG